UACGAAGGGUGCAAGCGUUGCUCGGAAUUAUUGGGCGUAAAGCGCACGUAGGCGGCGUCGCAAGUCACAUGUGAAAGCCCACGGCUUAACCGUGGAAGUGCAUGGGAAACUGCAGAGCUUGAGUACUUAAGAGGAUCGCGGAAUUCCCGGUGUAGAGGUGAAAUUCGUAGAUAUUCGGAAGAACACCAGUGGCGAAGGCGGCUCACUGGACUGGUACUGACGCUGAGGUGCGAAAGCGUGGGGAGCAAACAGG
rnacentral:rRNA from 1 species